ensembl:snoRNA U3 Small nucleolar RNA U3
AAGACUAUACUUCCCUGCAUUAUUGCUAUGGUUCAUUAUUAGAAAAGCUUAUCCAACUGUGUAGAGAACCAGAAGUCAGAAGGAGGAGGUGAGGUGUUCUCUCUUGAGCGUGAAGCCAGCUUUGCACUUUGGGAAAGAAUGCAGUCUGAGCGAC